rnacentral:rRNA from 1 species
UACGAGCGGCCCAAACGUUAUUCGGAUUUACUGGGCUUAAAGAGUUCGUAGGCGGCUUGGAAAGUGGGGCGUGAAAGCCCUCGGCUCAACCGAGGAACUGCGCUCCAAACUCCCAAGCUUGAGGAAGCUAGAGGUGAGCAGAACAGAUGGUGGAGCGGUGAAAUGCGUUGAUAUCAUCUGGAAUACCGGAGGCGAAGGCGGCUCACUGGGACUUUUCUGACGCUGAGGAACGAAAGCUAGGGGAGCGAAC